CUGGCGGGUUCUUCAAGUCUAAGGCUCCGUGGGGCGGCAGUGGGUGCGGCCUGGCCGACUGCCGCCUCUGCUGGCCCUCUUCCCCUGGCGAGAGCCCGCCUGGUGACAGAGGUACUGCGAUCCCUGAUUUGGUCAGCACUUGAAUUCCAAGUCACUGCUUAGAAGGCCUCCGACCUCCUGCUGGUCAUAGCUGCACGAGUGAAAGUGCAAGUCGCUCGGUCGUGUCUGACUCUUUGCAACCCCAAUGGACUGCAGCCCGCCAGGCUCCUCUGUCCACGGAAUUCUCCAGGCAAGAAUACUGGAGUGGGUAGCCAUUCCCUUCUCCAGGGGAUCUUGCCAACCCAGGGAUGGAACCCAGGUCUCCCGUAUUGCAGCUUCAUUCUGUACCAAGAGAGUCAUCAGGAAGAACAAUAUUUGGAUGGUCAGGAACAAUCAACCCUAUAAUGGAUGAUCUUCAACCUCGAUACAGACAGCUGGAUAAAGAUGGUGGGUGAUCACCAGAAAGACCAAGUCAUGAAUAGAAGAUUGAAACUAUUCAGUCUCACUCCCCAUCAUCCAGAGAAGAAUUGGAAAUGGAUUUAAUGAGUGAUCAUGCUUAUGUGAUGAAGUCUCUAUAAAAAUCUCUGCAGGAACUUCCCUGGUGGUCUAGUGGUUAAGAAUCUGCCUGCCGAUGCAGGGGUGGUGUUGCUGGUAGACAUGGGUUCAAUCCCUGGUCUGGAAAAUAAGAUCCCACAUUCCACACGGCAACUAAGCUCUGGUGCCACAACUAUUCAAGCCCAUGCACUGCCGAGAGCCAGUGCUCCACAACAAGAGAAGCCACCACAAUAAGAAGCCCCUACACUGUAACUAGAGAGGAACCGCCACUCCCUGCAACUAGAGAAAGCCACAGCGCAGCAGUGAAGAGCCCAUGCACAGCAAUGCAGACCCAGUGCUGCCAAAAGAACCACCCCAAAGUGCAGGUUUCAGAGAGCUUCCAGGUUGGUGAUGCAUAGGUGCUGGGAGAUUGGUGUACCUGGAGAAGGCACGGAGCUCUGCACCC